UACGUAGGGUCCGAGCGUUGUCCGGAAUUAUUGGGCGUAAAGGGCGCGUAGGCGGCCACGCACGUCCGUUGUGAAAUCGCCCGGCUCAACUGGGCGGGGUCAGCGGAUACGGUGUGGCUCGAGCAAGCUAGGGGGCAAUGGAAUUCCCGGUGUAGUGGUGGAAUGCGUAGAUAUCGGGAGGAACACCAGUGGCGAAGGCGGUUGCCUGGAGCUUUGCUGACGCUGAGGCGCGAAAGCGUGGGGAGCGAUCCGG
rnacentral:rRNA from 1 species